UACGGGGGGGGCAAGCGUUGUUCGGAAUUACUGGGCGUAAAGGGCUUGUAGGUGGCCAACUAAGUCAGACGUGAAAUCCCUCAGCUUAACUGGGGAACUGCGUCUGAUACUGGAUGGCUUGAGUUUGGGAGAGGGAUGCGGAAUUCCAGGUGUAGCGGUGAAAUGCGUAGAUAUCUGGAGGAACACCGGUGGCGAAGGCGGCAUCCUGGACCAACACUGACACUGAGGUGCGAAAGCUAGGGUAGCAAACGGG
rnacentral:rRNA from 1 species